rnacentral:rRNA from 1 species
UACGAAGGGUGCAAGCGUUACUCGGAAUUACUGGGCGUAAAGCGUGCGUAGGCGGUUUGUUAAGUCAGAUGUGAAAUCCCCGGGCUCAACCUGGGAACUGCAUUUGAAACUGGCAGGCUAGAGUACGGUAGAGGGUGGUGGAAUUCCCGGUGUAGCGGUGAAAUGCGUAGAGAUCGGGAGGAACAUCCGUGGCGAAGGCGGCCACCUGGACCAGUACUGACGCUGAGGCACGAAAGCGUGGGGAG